GGGCCUGUGGUCUAAUGGUAUGAUAUUACCUUCACAGGGUAAAGAAAGAGGUUCGAUUCCUCUCAGGCCCA
rnacentral:tRNA from 1 species